UAAAGUGGCGUACGGGUGAGUAACACGUGGAUGAUCUACCUUUUAGUGGGGAAUACCGCUGGGAAACCGGUGACAAUACCGCAUAAGCUCGAGAGAGGAAAGCCGAAAGGCGCUGAAAGAGGAGUCCGCGGCCGAUUAGCUAGUUGGCAGGGUAAAAGCCUACCAAGGCAUUGAUCGGUAGCCGGCCUGAGAGGGCACACGGCCACACUGGCACUGAAACACGGGCCAG
rnacentral:rRNA from 1 species